UCUACGUUUUCAUACGUUUCACGUUCUAAUCUCUCUCUCUCUCUCUCUCUCUCUCUCUCUCUCUCUCUCUCUCUCUCUCUUUCUCUCCCUCUCCCCUCCUCUUUCUGAUCUCUCUGUCUUUCUUUUGUUUAUCACACUACCUGAAUUUUCGCCCUCCUUCACAGAGAAGCGGACCGAGAAAGGGGGAACCGUUUCAAGGAACGAUGCAUUUUGGAUAAAAUUAGCACACUUGCAUCGCCGUAUGUAUACCCUUCAUGUUUCUAAGUCAACCAUCUACCCUGGUAGAGAAUUGGAUUCAUAAAAGAGCCUAAUAAGAACGAGUCUCUUUUGGAAUCGUGAGAAUAAGAUAGGCUAACCAGGCAGGCGCAAACUCAUUCGUUCAUUAGUUGGAUGAUAUAACGAUGACGUAGGAGGUAUCGUGACAAGAGGAGUUGAAAGUAAAUAGUAUACGUGCAUUGGAUAGAAAAAGUUGAAAUUGAUUCUUCUUCACGUACGGUACUUCCUCUUUUUUUCUUUCUUUAAGUUUAACUUCCGCCGGGAGAUCUACGGACGAUGGAUAUUGAGAAAAUGAUAAUAAAGAACAUACAUCGAUCUCAGCGCUACGAGAGUGGAAUGGGAAAGCUUUGCUUUACGUACAUAAAGGAGGUGGUGGUAAACAGAAGUGGAAGAGGUAUUAGCGAAGAGAGGUGAUGGUCAAAAGGAGGGAAGGGGAGAUUUUGCCUUCCAGGAAAAUGCCCAUGACCGUCUAGGCUUACCAAGCAAUGGUAGAGUCAUUAAGGUAAAAGUUGUCCCUAUUAUUAAGUUGGUAGGUCAAUGGAAUCCGUAUUGUCUUUCUAUUGAUGUCACCGUCAUUUUUUCGUCUUACCGUUAGGUUUACCAAUUUUACGAUGGUACGUAAGACGAGUUUCUUUCGUUAUUUCAUUCUCUUUACAAUAGAGAGGUAACCUUUAGUCGGUGGAAAUUGCGGGACUUCUUGGAAAUCAGGAUACCAGAGGAAGAGAGGGAGGGAGGGAGGGAGGGAGGGGGUGGAGAGAGAGAGAGAGAGAUCACGAAAUGCUCGCAUGAAACACGGAUUUCUCGGCGUAUGCGCCGCGAAAUGAGAUCAUGUUGUUUUUGUGGCAUGGAGUCGACGGUUAAUACGUUUAGCUACGCGUCCGCGCGGUUGCCAUGCUUCUCUACGUCUUGCGCGUAGGCCAACUCGCGAGGCGAUGACGCAAGCUGCGCGUUGGCACGUAUACAUACUUCUUCGACGAAAGAGAGAAGCGACAAGAGGACACGACGGACGAACGAACGAACGGAGCUGGCUGGCUAGCUAGCUAGCUAGCUAGCGAUCGACGUGACUUGGAAUGGACGGAGAGAAGAGAGAGGGAGGUAGAGGUAGGUAAUUCCCAACAGAAAAGUAGCCUUGUCGUCUUCCAAGAAUUUUGACGGUUAGAUCGGAGUCAGGCUCUCCGAAGGCUUCCGGCCUUCCGAUCGACGGCCAUGAGAGAGAGGAACACACCUGCUUCGCCGUUCGAUCCGACCUUCGUACCGCAACGACUCAUCGUUUUGGCAUUCGGCGAUCGGAUUCUCGAGCGGUGAUUACGAUCUUUUCACGCGCCGCGGAGAAUUUCAUCAUCAUUUCGGAUAAUCGGAUAGAUAUCGCGGAAAGAAUGCUUUCUUAUUUUUUACUUGAUGCAUUUUUCGUUCUCAUGUAAAGUGUAAUCUAAAUCCUGUUAAAUAAUAGAGUUGUUGAACGAAGAGAAAGGAUAGAUAGAGAAAGGAAGGAGAUAGAGAGCGAGAGAGAAAGAGUAGAUUGAUGCGACGGACGUGGCGCAGCAGCAACGGCAGCGACAGCAGCAACAGCAGCAGCAGCAGCAGCAGCAGCAGCAGCAGCUAAGUCAGACCGGCAGUCGCCUAGCGCGCCACGACGGCUGGCACGGCUCGUCGGAUUUGUCCUUGGGAUCGAGAAGGUAGGCACAGCCCAAGGAAAGAGAUGUGGCAACGUGGCAGGCAGCAGGCAGAGCUCCCCCUCCUUUGUCCGUCGUCGGCCGGUCUUGCCAGACAGGGUGUCGCCAGCUCGGUCGGCCCGGUCGGCCGGGUUUGUGCGAGGGAGAGAGGAGAUCGACGGGUGAAAGGAGGAAAGGGGCAGGGGUACAGGCUGUGGCAGCAGGAGGUGGAGGAGGAGGGGGGGGUUCCGGUAUGUGUGCUGCUAGUCGCGGGAAGGGCAAAGCGAAUCGUGCUCGUAGAGCGGAGAAGAGAGUCCGGGGAUGGAUGAGAAGGAAAGAGAGAGAGAGGGAGAGAGAGAACUCCGCUCUCUGCGUAUCGUAGGAUCGGUCGUGGACCUACAUUCACGCGGGUAGCCAUGUUUGAAAACUCGCGUCCCGCUGGAAUGUGCCUAAGGGGGCCCCUACCCCUCUCUCUUUUUCCUUCCUUCGCCAUUCUACGGUCCCGUCGACGAUCUUCCGAUGCCUUUUGCUUUCCCCUCCAUACAAGAGUUGGCGCCCCAAAUGGUCGCGUAACCAGAGACGUGCCUCUGGCCUGCCCUGGUCGCGCCAGACUUCUCGGCGCCCAAAUGAUGUACGCCGACCAUUCCCUCUCUUUCUCUCUCUCUCUCUCUCUCUCUCUCUUUUUCUCUUUUUCUUUCUUCCUCCUACUCAUUCUAUUCGUCUCGUUCCCAUUGCUUUCCUUUUUCUUCCAGCAUACGUACACAUAUACUUAUACACCUUCCAAUGAAGUCCAAAGAACCGAACACACAUUGUUUAACUUUUUGGCACCUUCAAUACGGGAAUCUUCUUUUAUAGUACCAAAGUCGAAGUCCUUUGAAAGAGAACACGUUGGUGUUUCGGCUGUCCCGUAACACAUUGUACGAGAAAGGACAGAGGGUACAUAGUCAAGGUUCGUAAAAGUUCUUGAGAAGACGAGACCGAUUGGCCGUCAGAAAGAGACGUACCGCUUUGUUAACAUAAGAGAGGACGAUGGCGGUGAUGAAUUGAAUUUUGUCUCAGAUCGCAGUUCUUUCUGAAUUUUACGACAGGCUUCUGUGCUUACUCGUUUGUCUGCUUUUGCAUUUCUGGUUUCAGUUGAAAUGAAUUUUCUAACGAAGUCUCGAACUUUGCGUUGCUCUUUGCGCCGGACUUUGAAAAGACUCCGCUAUCAGCUCAUACGAGACUUCUUAUCUCAAGUUUCCUUUGAAGAAAAAAAACAAAAGAAAAAAAAAAAAAAACAAAAAAAAAUCAUUGCUCGAGAAACGAUGAGUCUGUCCUUCGUAACCGCACGUACCGUACAGUUAUUGUACGUAUGUCGUUCGGUAGAUUACAUCAGUAGCUUGUUAGCUCGAUAACUAGUUAAUAAAACUAAUAAGAGUAAUAAUAAUCCAUUCGUUCAAUGAAGAGAAAGAGAGAAAGAGAAAGAGUCAAUGUUCUCGUUAACGACAUGGUAGAUCGUUCGAAUGUUCUCCUUAAAUGUUUCCAUUUACUUAUCCAAUAAUUAGAUAUGAUAGUUGCGAAAGAAGAUAAUACGCAUCGUACGCGUAUUUUCUUUUCGAUAGGGUGAAAAGUGAGUUUUUGCUUGGCUGCUCUUUCAAAUCGCAAACUCGAGUUUAUACUUUAGUUUAUUUAUGUGCACGCCGCCGACUGGGAGAGCGCCACACGUGCAACCACGUACACAUAUGCGUCUCGCAUAUUCCGUUGUGUUCGUACGUUUAUCGGUGUGGCGCGUUUACAAUAUUCGUGCGUAGUAGUGCGUAUUUUCCCACACAUUCAUGAAUCAAGUAAGUAUGUAUGCGCGCGUAUGGUGUCGAACCUAAUCGCGCUUAUACCCAGGGACGCACGCACGCAUCGUUCAUAUUAUAUAUCUCUAACGAAAAUUUAUAUAUCGUGAUAUAAACAAGCUCAUAAUGAUAUAAUAAAUAAGCUACGUUAAAGGAAAUCUCGUCGUUUUAUAUGGAAAGAAUGAAAAGAGUUAGAGGGGAAGGAGGAGGAAAAAGAAAAA